rnacentral:rRNA from 1 species
UGGGGAAUAUUGGACAAUGGGCGAAAGCCUGAUCCAGCCAUGCCGCGUGUGUGAAGAAGGUCUUCGGAUUGUAAAGCACUUUAAGUUGGGAGGAAGGGCAGUAAGCUAAUACCUUGCUGUUUUGACGUUACCGACAGAAUAAGCACCGGCUAACUUCGUGCCAGCAGCCGCGGUAAUACGAAGGGUGCAAGCGUUAAUCGGAAUUACUGGGCGUAAAGCGCGCGUAGGUGGUUCGUUAAGUUGGAUGUGAAAGCCCCGGGCUCAACCUGGGAACUGCAUCCAAAACUGGCGAGCUAGAGUACGGUAGAGGGUGGUGGAAUUUCCUGUGUAGCGGUGAAAUGCGUAGAUAUAGGAAGGAACACCAGUGGCGAAGGCGACCACCUGGACUGAUACUGACACUGAGGUGCGAAAAGCGUGGGGAGCAAAACAGGAUUAGAUACCCCUGGUAGUCCACGCCGUAAAACGAUGUCAACUAGCCGUUGGGUUCCUCGAGAACUUAGUGGCGCAGCUAACGCAUUAAGUUGACCGCCUGGGGAGUACGGCCGCAAGGUUAAAACUCAAAUGAAUUGACGGGGUCAUAGCUGUUUCCUG